AACUUUCGGCAAUGGAUCACUUGGCUCUCGCAUCGAUGAAGAACGCAGCGAAAUGCGAUACGUAAUGUGAAUUGCAGAAUACAGUGAAUCAUCGAAUCUUUGAACGCAUAUUGCGCUCUUUGGUAUUCCGAAGAGCAUGCUUGUUUGAGUAUCAGUAAACACCUCAACCUCCUCUUGAUUUUUCAAAAGGAGGGUGGACUUGAGCUAUCCCAACAACCUUUACCGGUAGGCGGGCGGCUUGAAAUGCAGGUGCAGCUGGACUUUUAUCUGAGCUAAAAGCAUAUCUAUUUAGUCCUCGUCAAACAGGAUUAUUACUAUUGCUGCAGCUAACAUAAAGGAUAAUUGUCCUCAUUGCUGACUGAUGCAGGAUUUUACGACACUUUAUGUGUUGUUCAACUCGAUCUCAAAUCAAGUAAGACUACCCGCUGAACUUAAGCAUAUCAAUAAGCGGAGGCU
rnacentral:misc_RNA from 1 species